rnacentral:rRNA from 1 species
UUAAGCGACUAAGCGUACACGGUGGAUGCCCUGGCAGUCAGAGGCGAUGAAGGACGUGCUAAUCUGCGAUAAGCGUCGGUAAGGUGAUAUGAACCGUUAUAACCGGCGAUUUCCGAAUGGGGAAACCCAGUGUGAUUCGAUCACACUAUCAUUAACUGAAUCCAUAGGUUAAUGAGGCGAACCGGGGGAACUGAAACAUCUAAGUACCCCGAGGAAAAGAAAUCAACCGAGAUUCCCCCAGUAGCGGCGAGCGAACGGGGAGGCAGCCCAGAGCCUGAAUCAGUGUGUGUGUUAGUGGAAGCGUCUGGAAAGGCGCGCGAUACAGGGUGACAGCCCCGUACACAAAAAUGCACAUAGCUGUGAGCUCGAUGAGUAGGGCGGGACACGUGGUAUCCUGUCUGAAUAUGGGGGGACCAUCCUCCAAGGCUAAAUACUCCUGACUGACCGAUAGUGAACCAGUACCGUGAGGGAAAGGCGAAAAGAACCCCGGCGAGGGGAGUGAAAAAGAACCUGAAACCGUGUACGUACAAGCAGUGGGAGCCACAGAGCAAUCUAGUGUGACUGCGUACCUUUUGUAUAAUGGGUCAGCGACUUAUAUUCUGUAGCAAGGUUAACCGAAUAGGGGAGCCGAAGGGAAACCGAGUCUUAACCUGGGCGUUAAGUUGCAGGGUAUAGACCCGAAACCCGGUGAUCUAGCCAUGGGCAGGUUGAAGGUUGGGUAACACUAACUGGAGGACCGAACCGACUAAUGUUGAAAAAUUAGCGGAUGACUUGUGGCUGGGGGUGAAAGGCCAAUCAAACCGGGAGAUAGCUGGUUCUCCCCGAAAGCUAUUUAGGUAGCGCCUCGUGAAUUCAUCUCCGGGGGUAGAGCACUGUUUCGGCAAGGGGGUCAUCCCGACUUACCAACCCGAUGCAAACUGCGAAUACCGGAGAAUGUUAUCACGGGAGACACACGGCGGGUGCUAACGUCCGUCGUGAAGAGGGAAACAACCCAGACCGCCAGCUAAGGUCCCAAAGUCAUGGUUAAGUGGGAAACGAUGUGGGAAGGCCCAGACAGCCAGGAUGUUGGCUUAGAAGCAGCCAUCAUUUAAAGAAAGCGUAAUAGCUCACUGGUCGAGUCGGCCUGCGCGGAAGAUGUAACGGGGCUAAACCAUGCACCGAAGCUGCGGCAGCGACACUGUGUGUUGUUGGGUAGGGGAGCGUUCUGUAAGCCUGUGAAGGUGUGACUGUGAAGGCUAUGCUGGAGGUAUCAGAAGUGCGAAUGCUGACAUAAGUAACGAUAAAGCGGGUGAAAAGCCCGCUCGCCGGAAGACCAAGGGUUCCUGUCCAACGUUAAUCGGGGCAGGGUGAGUCGACCCCUAAGGCGAGGCCGAAAGGCGUAGUCGAUGGGAAACAGGUUAAUAUUCCUGUACUUGGUGUUACUGCGAAGGGGGACGGAGAAGGCUAUGUUGGCCGGGCGACGGUUGUCCCGGUUUAAGCGUGUAGGCUGGUUUCCAGGCAAAUCCGGAAAAUCAAGGCUGAGGCGUGAUGACGAGGCACUACGGUGCUGAAGCAACAAAUGCCCUGCUUCCAGGAAAAGCCUCUAAGCAUCAGGUAACAUCAAAUCGUACCCCAAACCGACACAGGUGGUCAGGUAGAGAAUACCAAGGCGCUUGAGAGAACUCGGGUGAAGGAACUAGGCAAAAUGGUGCCGUAACUUCGGGAGAAGGCACGCUGAUAUGUAGGUGAAGUCCCUCGCGGAUGGAGCUGAAAUCAGUCGAAGAUACCAGCUGGCUGCAACUGUUUAUUAAAAACACAGCACUGUGCAAACACGAAAGUGGACGUAUACGGUGUGACGCCUGCCCGGUGCCGGAAGGUUAAUUGAUGGGGUCAGCGCAAGCGAAGCUCUUGAUCGAAGCCCCGGUAAACGGCGGCCGUAACUAUAACGGUCCUAAGGUAGCGAAAUUCCUUGUCGGGUAAGUUCCGACCUGCACGAAUGGCGUAAUGAUGGCCAGGCUGUCUCCACCCGAGACUCAGUGAAAUUGAACUCGCUGUGAAGAUGCAGUGUACCCGCGGCAAGACGGAAAGACCCCGUGAACCUUUACUAUAGCUUGACACUGAACAUUGAGCCUUGAUGUGUAGGAUAGGUGGGAGGCUUUGAAGUGUGGACGCCAGUCUGCAUGGAGCCGACCUUGAAAUACCACCCUUUAAUGUUUGAUG